rnacentral:rRNA from 1 species
AGAGUUUGAUCCUGGCUCAGGAUGAACGCUGGCGGCGUGCUUAACACAUGCAAGUCGAACGGACUUAUAACGAAACCUAGUGAAUUAUAAGUUAGUGGCGGACGGGUGAGUAACGCGUGGAAAACCUGCCGUAUACUGGGGGAUAACACUUAGAAAUAGGUGCUAAUACCGCAUAAGCGCACAGCUUCGCAUGAAGCAGUGUGAAAAACUCCGGUGGUAUACGAUGGUUCCGCGUCUGAUUAGCUAGUUGGUGAGGUAAAAGCCCACCAAGGCGACGAUCAGUAGCCGGCCUGAGAGGGUGAACGGCCACAUUGGGACUGAGACACGGCCCAGACUCCUACGGGAGGCAGCAGUGGGGGAUAUUGCACAAUGGGGGAAACCCUGAUGCAGCGACGCCGCGUGAGUGAAGAAGUAUUUCGGUACGUAAAGCUCUAUCAGCAGGGAAGAAAAAAGUCCACAGGACUUUGGACGGUACCUGACUAAGAAGCCCCGGCUAACUACGUG